CAGCUCUCCGAGUGGUAGGGAUGAUUAUUGGGCUUAAAGCGUCCGUAGCCUGCUUAGCAAGUCUCCUGUUAAAUUCAGCGACCUAAUCGUUGAGCCGCGGGAGAUACUACUAGGCUAGGAGGCGGGAGAGGUCGACGAUACUUCUGGGGUAGGGGUGAAAUCCUAUAAUCCCGGGAGGACCACCAGUGGCGAAGGCUGUCGACUAGAACGCGCCCGACGGUGAGGGACGAAAGCUGGGGGAGCGAACAGGAUUAGAUACCCUGGUAGUCC
rnacentral:rRNA from 1 species